UACGUAGGGGGCAAGCGUUGUUCGGAAUUACUGGGCGUAAAGGGCUUGUAGGUGGCCAACUAAGUCAGACGUGAAAUCCCUCGGCUUAACCGGGGAACUGCGCCUGAUACUGGAUGGCUGGAGUUUGGGAGAGGGAUGCGGAAUUCCAGGUGUAGCGGUGAAAUGCGUAGAUAUCUGGAGGAACACCGGUGGCGAAGGCGGCAUCCUGGACCAACACUGACACUGAAAAGCGAAAGCCAGGGGAGCAAACGGG
rnacentral:rRNA from 1 species